AGUGAACGCUGGCGGUAGGCCUAACACAUGCAAGUCGAACGGCAGCACAGUAAGAGCUUGCUCUUACGGGUGGCGAGUGGCGGACGGGUGAGGAAUACAUCGGACUCUACUUUUUCGUGGGGGAUAACGUAGGGAAACUUACGCUAAUACCGCAUACGACCUACGGGUGAAAGCAGGGGAUCUUCGGACCUUGCGCGAUUGAAUGAGCCGAUGUCGGAUUAGCUAGUUGGCGGGGUAAAGGCCAACCAAGGCGACGAUCCGUAGCUGGUCUGAGAGGAUGAUCAGCCACACUGGAACUGAGACACGGUCCAGACUCCUACGGGAGGCAGCAGUGGGGAAUAUUGGACAAUGGGCGCAAGCCUGAUCCAGCCAUACCGCGUGGGUGAAGAAGGCCUUCGGGUUGUAAAGCCCUUUUGUUGGGAAAGAAAAGCAGCAGGUUAAUACCCCGCUGUUCUGACGGUACCCGAAGAAUAAGCACCGGCUAACUUCGUG
rnacentral:rRNA from 1 species